rnacentral:rRNA from 1 species
CUUCGAUUCAGCGGCGGACGGGUGAGUAAUGCCUAGGAAUCUGCCUGGUAGUGGGGGACAACGUUUCGAAAGGAACGCUAAUACCGCAUACGUCCUACGGGAGAAAGCAGGGGACCUUCGGGCCUUGCGCUAUCAGAUGAGCCUAGGUCGGAUUAGCUAGUUGGUGAGGUAAUGGCUCACCAAGGCGACGAUCCGUAACUGGUCUGAGAGGAUGAUCAGUCACACUGGAACUGAGACACGGUCCAGACUCCUACGGGAGGCAGCAGUGGGGAAUAUUGGACAAUGGGCGAAAGCCUGAUCCAGCCAUGCCGCGUGUGUGAAGAAGGUCUUCGGAUUGUAAAGCACUUUAAGUUGGGAGGAAGGGCAUGCACCUAAUACGUGUGUGUCUUGACGUUACCGACAGAAUAAGCACCGGCUAACUCUGUGCCAGCAGCCGCGGUAAUACAGAGGGUGCAAGCGUUAAUCGGAAUUACUGGGCGUAAAGCGCGCGUAGGUGGUUCGUUAAGUUGAAUGUGAAAUCCCCGGGCUCAACCUGGGAACUGCAUCCAAAACUGGCGAGCUAGAGUAUGGUAGAGGGUGGUGGAAUUUCCUGUGUAGCGGUGAAAUGCGUAGAUAUAGGAAGGAACACCAGUGGCGAAGGCGACCACCUGGACUGAUACUGACACUGAGGUGCGAAAGCG